UGGGGAAUAUUGCACAAUGGGGGAAACCCUGAUGCAGCGACGCCGCGUGAGCGAUGAAGUAUUUCGGUAUGUAAAGCUCUAUCAGCAGGGAAGAUAAUGACGGUACCCACAGAAGAAGCCCCGGCUAACUUCGUGCCAGCAGCCGCGGUAAUACGAAGGGGGCUAGCGUUGUUCGGAAUUACUGGGCGUAAAGCGCACGUAGGCGGAUCGUUAAGUCGGGGGUGAAAUCCUGGGGCUCAACCUCAGAACUGCCUUCGAUACUGGCGAUCUCGAGUCCGGGAGAGGUGAGUGGAAUUCCGAGUGUAGAGGUGAAAUUCGUAGAUAUUCGGAGGAACACCAGUGGCGAAGGCGGCUCACUGGCCCGGUACUGACGCUGAGGUGCGAAAGCGUGGGGAGCAAACA
rnacentral:rRNA from 1 species